AAUCGGGUCCCAUGCAGCAGAAACUCGUGAAUUCCGUCAGAUCUGGAAGGAAGCAGCGGUAAAUGAUAACUUCUGAGUGCCGUGGAUAAACCUAGUUUGAG
rnacentral:SRP_RNA from 2 species